AUGGCGACGCCGGCCCGCCGGGCGUCGGCGCAGCCGCAGCCGCUGACGGUGGACUUCGAGGCGCUGAGCUACAUCAGCAGGCUCGUGGAGGCGUUCCAGGCGUUCGACUCGGACAGCGACGGCCUCGUCACGGCCCCCGAGCUCCGGGGCCUCCUGGCCUCCCUGGGCCUGGACAAGUCGGAGGCCGAGGCGCGGGACAUGCUGGCGCGCGCCGACGCCGACCGUGACGGCCGGCUCUGCGUGGAUGCCAUUUUAGACGUGAUGAACGCCGGCGAGCUCGGCCUGGGCGCGCUCGGCGCGCUGCUGCAGGCCGCCGUCCCGGCGCUGGAGUCCUUCGCGGGCCCCGACGAGCUCGCCACGGUGCUGGGGCUCAUGGGCACCGCCAGCGCCGAGGACUGCGCGGAGAUCAUCGCGUGCAUGGACGGGGACGGGGACGGCGACGGCGCCAUCAGCGUCGAGGAGUUCAAGCUCAUGGCUGACCUGCUCUAG
rnacentral:rRNA from 1 species